AGGGUUUGAUCCUGGCUCAGCGCGAACGCUGGCGGCAUGGUUAAAGCAUGCAAGUCGAACGAUUAAAGCCCCUUCGGGGGUGUAUACAGUGGCGUAAGGGCGAGGAAUACGUUCCUACGUACCCCGAGGUCGAGGACAGCCCAGGGAAACCCGGAGUAAUACUCGAUGUGGUCCGCCGCAAGGCGGAUCAAAGGCUUCGGCCGCCUUGGGAGCGGGGAACGUCCUAUCAGGUUGUUGGUGGGGUAACGGCUCACCAAGCCGAAGACGGGUAGCGGGUGUGAGAGCACGAACCGCUGCAUCGGGACUGAGACACUGCCCGGACUCCUACGGGAGGCUGCAGCAACGAAUCUUCCGCAAUGCGCGAAAGCGUGACGGAGCAAUGCCGCGUGCAGGAUGAAGCCCUUCGGGGUGUAAACUGCUGUCAGGGUUUAGCAACCCAAUGAGCAAACCCAAAGGAAGGGCCGGCUAACUUCGUGCCAGCAGCCGCGGUAAUACGAAGGGCCCGAGCGUUGCGCGAAAUCACUGGGCUUAAAGCGUACGUAGGCGGGCACGCAGGCACCUUGUGAAAUCCCUUGGCUCAACCAAGGAAUUGCUUGGUGAACCGCGUGCCUUGAGGCAAGUAGAGGCUGUCGGAACGAUAGGUGGAGCGGUGAAAUGCGUUGAUAUCUAUCGGAACGUCGAAGGCGAAGGCAGGCAGCUGGGCUUGUUCUGACGCUGAGGUACGAAAGCGUGGGGAGCGAACGGGAUUAGAUACCCCGGUAGUCCACGCCGUAAACGAUGUGCACUAGACCGAGGGGGUUCUGACGCCAUUCUCGGUCGAAGCAAAAGUGUUAAGUGCACCGCCUGGGGAGUACGGUCGCAAGGCUAAAACUCAAAGGAAUUGACGGGGGCUCACACAAGC
rnacentral:rRNA from 1 species